rnacentral:rRNA from 1 species
AUUGAACGCUGGCGGCAUGCCUUACACAUGCAAGUCGAACGGUAACAGGUCUUCGGAUGCUGACGAGUGGCGAACGGGUGAGUAAUACAUCGGAACGUGCCCAGACGUGGGGGAUAACGAGGCGAAAGCUUUGCUAAUACCGCAUACGAUCCAAGGAUGAAAGCAGGGGACCGCAAGGCCUUGCGCGCUUGGAGCGGCUGAUGGCAGAUUAGGUAGUUGGUGGGAUAAAAGCUUACCAAGCCGACGAUCUGUAGCUGGUCUGAGAGGACGACCAGCCACACUGGGACUGAGACACGGCCCAGACUCCUACGGGAGGCAGCAGUGGGGAAUUUUGGACAAUGGGCGAAAGCCUGAUCCAGCAAUGCCGCGUGCAGGAUGAAGGCCUUCGGGUUGUAAACUGCUUUUGUACGGAACGAAAAGGCUCUGGCUAAUACCUGGGGCACAUGACGGUACCGUAAGAAUAAGCACCGGCUAACUACGUG